rnacentral:siRNA from 1 species
ACAGUGGUGUACAUAUGUGGUGUA